CACUCUUUUUUCAUGUAUACAAACUAGUUCCAAAUUCCAAUACAUAAUUCCUCUAUGAAGGGUCACAAAAAGCUUCACACAUUCUUAAUUUUUGUGUGAGAAACAAAUUAAGAGAGGAGGAGACAUGAAAAAGAGGGGUGUUGUGCAUGGGUAUUAUGAUAGAGGGAACUAGGAAACUAGAUAUAUUUACAUGCAAAAAUAGAAAAACUGGCAAGAGAGGAUGUACAAGAAGAGGCAGAAGAGAUUACUGUCAGAAUCCUGAAUAUCAUAAGUAAUCCAUUGGAAGCUCCCAAUCAUCCUCAGAUUCUCUUAUUUUUGGAUGGAAUUUCUGUCUGCGAGAACUUCUCCGUGUGCUCCGGCCAUGAUCAGAACCAAGAGAAAUUUCACUAUCAGAGUAUCCUUCAAUUUCAU
rnacentral:misc_RNA from 1 species